UACGAAGGGGGCUAGCGUUGCUCGGAAUCACUGGGCGUAAAGCGCACGUUGGCGGCUUGUUAAGUCAGGGGUGAAAUCCUGGAGCUCAACUCCAGAACUGCCUUUGAUACUGGCGAUCUCGAGUCCGGGAGAGGUGAGUGGAACUGCGAGUGUAGAGGUGAAAUUCGUAGAUAUUCGCAAGAACACCAGUGGCGAAGGCGGCUCACUGGCCCGGUACUGACGCUGAGGCACGAAAGCGUGGGGAGCAAACAGG
rnacentral:rRNA from 1 species